rnacentral:rRNA from 1 species
UGGGGAAUAUUGCGCAAUGGGGGGAACCCUGACGCAGCGACGCCGCGUGGAGGAUGAAGGCCUUCGGGUUGUAAACUCCUUUUGUAGGGGAAGAUAAUGACGGUACCCUGCGAAUAAGCCACGGCUAACUCUGUGCCAGCAGCCGCGGUAAGACAGAGGUGGCGAGCGUUGUUCGGAAUCACUGGGCUUAAAGGGCGAGUAGGCGGUGGAGCAAGUCUGAGGUGGAAUCCUACGGCUUAACCGUAGAACUGCCUUAGAAACUGUUUUACUUGAGUCAAUGAGGGGAGGGCGGAAUUCCUGGUGUAGCGGUGAAAUGCGUAGAUAUCAGGAGGAAGGCCUGUGGCGAAAGUGGCCCUCUGGCAUUGUACUGACGCUGAGGCGCGAAAGCGUGGGGAGCAAA